AGGCCUGUGGCUCAGGGGUUAGAGCAGCUGCCUUGCAUGCAGAGGGUCCCAGGUUCAAUCCCCAACAUACCCAGGUAGAGCUG